rnacentral:rRNA from 1 species
GAAUUACUGGGCGUAAAGCGUGCGCAGGCGGUCUAUUAAGACAGGUGUGAAAUCCCCGGGCUUAACCUGGGAACUGCGCUUGUAACUGAUAGGCUGGAGUGUGGCAGAGGGGGGUGGAAUUCCAGGUGUAGCAGUGAAAUGCGUAGAGAUCUGGAGGAACACCGAUGGCGAAGGCAGCCCCCUGGGCUAACACUGACGCUCAUGCACGAAAGCGUGGGGAGCAAACAGGAUUAGAUACCCUGGUAGUCCACGCCCUAAACUAUGUCAACUGGUUGUCGGGGAAGCAAUUCCUUGGUAACGAAGCUAACGCGUGAAGUUGACCGCCUGGGGAGUACGGCCGCAAGGUUAAAACUCAAAGGAAUUGACGGGGACCCGCACAAGCGGUGGAUUAUGUGGAUUAAUUCGAUGCAACGCGAAAAACCUUACCUACCCUUGACAUGCCAGGAAGCCUCCAGAGAUGGAGGUGUGCCCGAAAGGGAACCUGGACACAGGUGCUGCAUGGCU